UACGAAGGGUGCAAGCGUUAAUCGGAAUUACUGGGCGUAAAGCGUGCGUAGGCGGUGAGUUAAGUCUGUCGUGAAAUCCCCGGGCUCAACCUGGGAAUGGCGAUGGAUACUGGCUCGCUAGAGUGUGAUAGAGGAUGGUGGAAUUCCCGGUGUAGCGGUGAAAUGCGUAGAGAUCGGGAGGAACAUCAGUGGCGAAGGCGGCCAUCUGGAUCAACACUG
rnacentral:rRNA from 1 species